rnacentral:rRNA from 1 species
AUGGGAACGCGAAGAACCUUACCUACUCUUGACAUCCAGAGAACUUUUCCAGAGAUGGAUUUGGUGCCUUCGGGAACGUCUGAGACAGGUGCUGCAUGGCUGUCGUCAGCUCGUGUUGUGAAAUGUUGGGUUAAGUCCCGCAACGAGCGCAACCCGUUAUCCUUUGUUGCCAGCGGUUAGGCCGGGAACUCAAAGGAGACUGCCAGUGAUAAACUGGAGGAAGGUGGGGAUGACGUCAAGUCAUCAUGGCCCUUACGAGUAGGGCUACACACGUGCUACAAUGGCGCAUACAAAGAGAAGCGACCUCGCGAGAGCAAGUGGACCUCAUAAAGUGCGUCGUAGUCCGGAUUGGAGUCUGCAACUCGACUCCAUGAAGUCGGAAUCGCUAGUAAUCGUAGAUCAGAAUGCUACGGCG